GGCUCGUCCGCCCUGGGUUAGUCGGGACCUAAGGCGCGGCCGAAAGGCGUAGCCGAUGGACAACAGGUUGAUAUUCCUGUACUAGUAUUGUUAGUGAUGGCGGGACGCAGUAGGCUAAAGGGAGCCAGUUAAUGGAUUCUGGUCUAAGCAGUGAGGGGUGGAAUGUGUCAAAUGCAUUUUCCUUUAACAUUGAGCUGUGAUGGGGAAGCAACUACGGUUGCGCAGCCCUUGAUGUCACACUGCCAAGAAAAUCUUCUAGCGUUUAAUUCAAUACUACCCGUACCGCAAACCGACACAGGUA
rnacentral:rRNA from 1 species